AUGCUGGAGGUAUCAGAAGUGCGAAUGCUGACAUAAGUAACGAUAAAGCGGGUGAAAAGCCCGCUCGCCGGAAGACCAAGGGUUCCUGUCCAACGUUAAUCGGGGCAGGGUGAGUCGACCCCUAAGGCGAGGCCGAAAGGCGUAGUCGAUGGGAAACAGGUUAAUAUUCCUGUACUUGGUGUUACUGCGAAGGGGGGACGGAGAAGGCUAUGUUGGCCGGGCGACGGUUGUCCCGGUUUAAGCGUGUAGGCUGGUUUUCCAGGCAAAUCCGGAAAAUCAAGGCUGAGGCGUGAUGACGAGGCACUACGGUGCUGAAGCAACAAAUGCCCUGCUUCCAGGAAAAGCCUCUAAGCAUCAGGUAACAUCAAAUCGUACCCCAAACCGACACAGGUGGUCAGGUAGAGAAUACCAAGGCGCUUGAGAGAACUCGGGUGAAGGAACUAGGCAAAAUGGUGCCGUAACUUCGGGAGAAGGCACGCUGAUAUGUAGGUGAAGCGACUUGCUCGUGGAGCUGAAAUCAGUCGAAGAUACCAGCUGGCUGCAACUGUUUAUUAAAAACACAGCACUGUGCAAACACGAAAGUGGACGUAUACGGUGUGACGCCUGCCCGGUGCCGGAAGGUUAAUUGAUGGGGUUAGCGGUAACGCGAAGCUCUUGAUCGAAGCCCCGGUAAACGGCGGCCGUAACUAUAACGGUCCUAAGGUAGCGAAAUUCCUUGUCGGGUAAGUUCCGACCUGCACGAAUGGCGUAAUGAUGGCCAGGCUGUCUCCACCCGAGACUCAGUGAAAUUGAACUCGCUGUGAAGAUGCAGUGUACCCGCGGCAAGACGGAAAGACCCCGUGAACCUUUACUAUAGCUUGACACUGAACAUUGAGCCUUGAUGUGUAGGAUAGGUGGGAGGCUUUGAAGUGUGGACGCCAGUCUGCAUGGAGCCGACCUUGAAAUACCACCCUUUAAUGUUUGAUGUUCUAACGUUGGCCCCUGAUCGGGGUUGCGGACAGUGUCUGGUGGGUAGUUUGACUGGGGCGGUCUCCUCCUAAAGAGUAACGGAGGAGCACGAAGGUUGGCUAAUCCUGGUCGGACAUCAGGAGGUUAGUGCAAUGGCAUAAGCCAGCUUGACUGCGAGCGUGACGGCGCGAGCAGGUGCGAAAGCAGGUCAUAGUGAUCCGGUGGUUCUGAAUGGAAGGGCCAUCGCUCAACGGAUAAAAGGUACUCCGGGGAUAACAGGCUGAUACCGCCCAAGAGUUCAUAUCGACGGCGGUGUUUGGCACCUCGAUGUCGGCUCAUCACAUCCUGGGGCUGAAGUAGGUCCCAAGGGUAUGGCUGUUCGCCAUUUAAAGUGGUACGCGAGCUGGGUUUAGAACGUCGUGAGACAGUUCGGUCCCUAUCUGCCGUGGGCGCUGGAGAACUGAGGGGGGCUGCUCCUAGUACGAGAGGACCGGAGUGGACGCAUCACUGGUGUUCGGGUUGUCAUGCCAAUGGCACUGCCCGGUAGCUAAAUGCGGAAGAGAUAAGUGCUGAAAGCAUCUAAGCACGAAACUUGCCCCGAGAUGAGUUCUCCCUGAGACUUUAAGUCUCCUGAAGGAACGUUGAAGACGACGACGUUGAUAGGCCGGGUGUGUAAGCGCAGCGAUGCGUUGAGCUAACCGGUACUAAUGAACCGUGAGGCUUAACCUUACAACGCCGAAG
rnacentral:rRNA from 1 species